UCUUUUUUUUUAAAUCCAUUUCAUAGGUCAAAGGGAUUAUGGACAGAAAUCAGAUGCUGAUUCAGAGUCUGACAACUCUGAUAACAACACCAUCUUUGUGCAAGGACUUGGAGAGGAUGUUUCAACAGAUCAAGUGGCAGACUACUUCAAACAAAUAGGCAUUAUAAAG